UACGUAGGGGGGCUAGCGUUGUCCGGAAUCAUUGGGCGUAAAGCGCGUGUAGGCGGUCCGGUAAGUCCGCUGUGAAAGUCGGGGGGCUCAACCCUCGGAUGCCGGUGGAUACUGUCGGGCUUGAGUACGGAAGAGGCGAGUGGAAUUCCCGGUGUAGCGGUGAAAUGCGCAGAUAUCGGGAGGAACACCAGUAGCGAAGGCGGCUCGCUGGGCCGUUCCUGACGCUGAGACGCGAAAGCUAGGGGAGCGAACAGG
rnacentral:rRNA from 1 species